UCCAUGGUGAUGGAUGAAACCCUUCCUGAGGUUGUGGGAGUCUCUUAAAUGUCUGUAAAUGAUUCUACAGUCUCUCACGCUGAACAGUCAUUAUAUUGAGGUAGAUCAUAGACUGGGUUCUAUAGGUAAUGGCUGUCCCAGCCACACUGUCCUGACCGCUGGAGAAUGGCUAGCCAGAGUACUAAUCAGAUGGAAGAACACACCAAGGAAAGGAUGGGCCUACGAGCAACACUUCUGUCCAGCAGUCUUGAGUGGACACUGCUGCUCUCUUUACUUGAUGAUAUGGAAGCCACGGCUGAGAAGCGAAUAAGCCACGUUGCUGCUGAGAAGCAAGUACGCCAUGUUGCUGCUGAGAAGUGAAUAAGCCAUGUUGCUGCUGAGAAGCGAAUACGCCAUGUUGCUGCAACAGGAGAUGUUGGGGUGUGACUCCGGCAGCCGACCCUCAAGUCUACAUGAGCUCUUGUUUCCCCAGUUCCUGGAGGGACAUUGUCCCGCCUGUGGACUGCUCUUCUGAGAGCCAGGAAUUUCCUUGUGGGAUUAGUAUUAUCGAUUUCCCUCCAUCCACAUAUCACAGGUCAACUGAGUUCCCUCCUAGAGCUCAAUCCCUUCUCCUUGCCAAGACAACAAAAAGGUUAAUUAAACAUCAUGAAGUUCGUACUGA